GAAGAAUUUGGCGGCCAAUCUCCCAGACAGCACGGCCGUGUUGAAUCAGGCCGAGCCGCAGCUGGACAAAGCCAGAAAACUGCUGCAGGAAGCACAGGAUGCCAGGGAUACAGCCCUGGGAGUAAAGGCCGACGUGGACGGGUUGCUGGCAGGCUUCGGCUCGGUGGAGGACUCCCUCUCUAAACUGGAGGACAAACUGCAGAACAGCAUGGAUCUCAUAGACAACGUGAGCAACAGCCUGACUAAGGCCGAAGAGCAGCUGAUCCCAGCAGAGAAGGCUCUGGAUGAUGCAUCGGCACUCAUAAAGCCAAUGAAGCCCCAACUGGACGAGCUCAAAGAACUGCUGCAGAACGGAGACCAGCAGGCCCAGGAUGCACAGGACAACGCAGACAAAGCUGACGAUGAAGCAGCUGCUGCCAAUAAGGACUUGUUGUCUCUGGAGAAGCAGCUGGAGCUUCUUAAAGAGAAGGCUGCAGCCAGUGAAGGGACGGAGCCGCUGGGGGAUCGACUGGUGAAGCUGCAGCAGGAUGCCGGAGCGCUGGCCAACACCACUGACAACAUGAUGAAGGCUCUGGAAGGUAAAGCAGAUUCCCUCAAGGGGCUGCAGGACGAGAUCGUACUGAAGUCAAAACAGCUUGAAGGACUCGAUGCUAAGCUUAAAGACAUUUUGGGAAAACUUCGAAACAAAGCCCAGGACCUCAGUACCUGCCAGGGCUGAAAGCCCCCACGCUAGCAGCCACACCAUUCACACCUUCUAUUCUCAGAAAAUGAUGUCACUUUACUAAAGGGGACGUCCUCCCUAACUCUGGAGUAGGGCUGAACGAUUUAGGGGAAAAAAAUCUAAUUGUGAUUUUUCUGCCAGAUAUUGAGAUUACGAUUCAUUUUGCAAUUUAUUUAUUUAUUUUAAAGUAUAGCUAAUGUUCAAUAUUAAAGAUGCAGUAGGUAGGGGCGACCUCUAGCUCACCCAGUAAGAGCGUGCGCCCCAUGUAGGCUGAGUCCUCUGCUGCGGCCCGGGUUCGAGUCCGACCUGCGGCCCUUUGCUGUGUGUAAUCCCCCAUCUCUCUCCCACCUUUCCAGUCUAUCCACUGUCAAUCAAUAAAGGGAAAAGCCCCAAAAAAUAAUCUUAAAAAAAAAGAUGCAGUAGGUAAGCCUUAUAAAACUAACUUUCUGUCAUAUUUGCUGAAACUGACCCUAUGUUCGAGUAGAACUACAUGAAGCAUGUAAUUUACCACCUACAGCCUGUAGUGCGAUCUACAAAAAUCCACCGCUCCCUGUUUAGAUGCACCAAUGAGGGCCGGGGGGGUGUCUAACUGCGUGUCAAUCACUGCUCAUGCACACACAUUCAUUCUCCCUUGUGAGGGGAGGGGCUUAUGAGACUGUUUUGGGCUUUACCUGAAAGGGGGGAGAGACUGAGAAGUUGUUGAUGUUUUAUUUUUUGGCUAAGUCCUGGAUCUUCACAAUCCUACCUACGGCACCUUUAACAGAUAAAACAUGUUAUAAAGCAUUAUAACAUGAGACACCAUCAAAACUGCUCUAUAUUCUUAAGGAUGAGAACAUGGAUAUGAACUGCCAGCAGUAAGUGUUUUUCUUUUAAUAAGCAUGGAACAUUGAACAGUCAAACACAGAACAGUUAUCACAAAAGCUAAAGUUAUAAUAAUAAUAAAACAAUUCCAAUAAAAAAUAUUAGUACUUUUCUGCAAACCCAAAUUUCUGAUAUGCCUCAGUUUUAUUACAGCAUUUAAAUGUUAAAUGUUACACCAAACAUUCAACUAAAUAUUCUCAUUAGAUUCUUCAUCGGAUCGGUCUUCAUGAUUAGCAAAUGGCAUUCUUUCAAAUCGCGAUUUCAAUAUGAAAACAAUUAUCAGCCCUACUCUGGAGCACUGCUAUAACUCUUCUCUAUAACAUUGCACCUCUCCUCUGGCAGUUGUCAAAUAAUUGUGGGAAAUAUAGGAAGUCAUUAUCUAGGGUUAAAUGAGAUAGAAGAGGGACGUCAAUGACUACUCUUAGUAACACUAACCAAUCAUUAAUAAAUGGUAAAUUGACAGUUAAUUAAACUUAAGUUAUUUUACUUUUAACAAUGAAAUGAUG
ensembl:lncRNA